rnacentral:rRNA from 1 species
UAUAGAGGUGGCAAGCGUUGUUCGGAAUUACUGGGCGUAAAGGGCGCGUAGGCGGCCGCCUAAGUCAGACGUGAAAUCCCCAGGCUUAACUUGGGAACUGCGUCUGAUACUGGGUGGCUUGAGUUCGGGAGAGGAAUGUGGAAUUCCAGGUGUAGCGGUGAAAUGCGUAGAUAUCUGGAGGAACACCGGUGGCGAAGGCGGCAUUCUGGACCGAAACUGACGCUGAGGCGCGAAAGCCAGGGGAGCAAACGGG